rnacentral:lncRNA from 1 species
GAAUGAUCUAUAAGGUCCAAAGGUCCAUGAAAUUCAACUGAUCAUAACUAGCCAAAGUCACGCCUUAGUUUAUUUUGAAACUUCAUAGAGAAUGAAAACUAUAAAGUCCGCAUCUUCAACAGAAAAUCAAAACUUCAUUGCAAAAGUAAAUGAAGAGCAGAUAGUAGAUUGGUACUUCUCUUCAGUAUGUCAAUACCAAAGAAAGGACCUGCCUGCUACUGACAGAUUAUGCUAUACAUAUGAGAAAAUAAAAUUACCUUCUGUAUAAAAAUCUUCCUACUUCAAUUCUUCAUUUUGGUUCUAUACAAAUACUCUCAACCAACAAAUAUACUUACGGAACAAAAUAAAUAGACAAACUUAUAUCUUAGUGUUUAUCAAACGAAUUAGACUAACAAAUAGACUAGGCAUAAAUAAGCACAUCAAAGAACUCAAAUGAUGUCAAAUUAGGAAGUAAAUUAUGUGCAUCAACUUUAGACUAGUCAGUACUAUACAGAGCAGUGCCCAAAGAUCCAAUUUCCUUGUUGGAGAUUAUCAUCCUGCGCUUCUUAAGCAAAUGGAAAGAUCGAGAAGCAAAUGAGUUUGCUCACAAGACUCGAGGUUACCAAUUAUUUGAAACAGAAAUCAGAACAUAUUGUCUGCGAUAUUUGUAUAGCACUCAAUCAAGAGAUGAAUUAAAAGAGGGACAGCAAAGCUUAACAAGAAAGCAUGGUACUAAACAGUCACACAUAUUAGCUUACUUCUUUUAUCAAUCAAGCACAUGAACUGCUGCACAGAUAGAUAUGCCUAGCAGGAAUUUGAUAAUCACAACACUUAAGGUCAAUUGGAAGCCUGAUUCACGAAUUUCAAACUAUUCACACACAAAAUCUGAUUUGGCGCGUACAUGGUCAAGAUGAUCCUAACACUUCAAGCAGAUUUCUCGUUUGAGAAACAAGUGGAAUCAGUAAAGACAACUCCAACUGGAUUCAGCUAUUCUAUUCCAAACUCGGCUCGCAAACAUUAAAACAUUGAUAGCAGGAUUCAAAAGGCUCUAGGCUAAAACUGAGAGUAAAUGACUUUAAAAGAGUCCAAAUUUCCACCUAACAUAUGCAAUUUGAACAGAGACCAAACGAGCCCUCAAUUUACUGGAAAUCCAUGUCAAAAACCAAAGAACUUCAUGAAAGAAUCUGAUGAACCAAGUCGAUGGUUCAAAACACUUAUCUUUUUACUUAAACCAUUAAAAACUAAUACCAGUAAGAGCAAAACAAAUACUGCAGCCAAAUGACAGACAUACAACCAUGAACUGGAGGAUUCACAUUUCAAGUUUUCAACACAAUUUCAUGAACACCAUAUUCCGAAGGGAUUAAUAAAACGGACGAUUCAACGUUUAAAGUUACAUUCAAUCCUUCAGGAAAAUGACACAUGAAUACAAUCAAAGCCACAAAAACCACGGCUCAUUGCGUGUUCAACCAAUCAUCAAAAUAACUAAGAAAGAGCCAAGAAAUGAACCUGAAGUUGUGAAACUCUUCGCUUAAACCCAGCAAAGUCCAGCAAUGGAUAUUCGAAGCAACAACAGAGGACAAAAAAAAAUCAAAUCAGUGACCCAACUUCAAAUGUCGAACUUGAUUUUCGGCUUAAUCAAUUUCCAUGUUGAAACCAAAAUUCAAAAAUCAAACUGAAGAUGACUGAACUACCUAUAUAUUUUAUUUCUUUUUCUGAUUCUGAAAUUUAAAGAAACGAAAUUAAACAAAAUGGAAAAUCCAAAAAAACGAGAAACAGAGGUUCAAAAGAAGACCCUCUUGAAAUUUCCUAUGUCUCGAGCAAUUUUUUUCUGAAAAAUUCUCCGAAAGCUCUCUCCGAAAAUCCUCUCCAAAAAAUCCCCCUUACACAAGAAAUGACCUCACCUUAUAUAUACCUCCAGGCUUCUCGAACCUUCUCCCUUUAUCUCCAAGAAAUCCCCAAAACGAAAAUCCUCCUCCUAAAACAGAUUUCUCACCCCGUUUUUUAUGAAAGAGGGACAAAUGGAGGGAGUAGAUUAGUUCAAAUCCAAUCUAACGCUCCCUAUUUUUCCUUAUUUUCAUUUGGAGGGUGAAAAAUCUGAGAUUAAUCAAAGAAGCAUGUGAGGGAAAAGGGAAUCUGUCAGAAACGGUUAGAAAUAUGGUGACAGGGAGAGAGGGGGAACGUGUGAGGUGAGAUUGGGGCUCACUCGCCUGAAUUUUGGCAAUUGUUUGGGAGUGGAUUCGGGUGUUUUGGAGAAGAAGAACAGUAACGCGUCUCUGAAUCUUGGGAGAUUAGGGCUGUCCGUUUAUUGUGUGCUUA